rnacentral:rRNA from 1 species
AUUGAACGCUGGCGGCAGGCCUAACACAUGCAAGUCGAGCGGCGAGGGGGACGGGUGAGUAAGGACUAGGAAUCUGCCUGGUAGUGGGGGAUAACGUCCGGAAACGGGAGCUAAUGCCGCAUAAUUGAAGAGGAGAUUAGGUCGGAUUAGCUAGUUGGUGGGGUAAAGGCCUACCAAGGCGACGAUCCGUAGCUGGUCUGAGAGGAUGAUCAGUCACACUGGAACUGAGACACGGUCCAGACUCCUACGGGAGGCAGCAGUGGGGAAUAUUGGACAAUGGGCGAAAGCCUGAUCCAGCCAUGCCGCGUGUGUGAAGAAGGUCUUCGGAUUGUAAAGCACUUUAAGUUGGGAGGCGUUACCAGCAGAAUAAGCACCGGCUAACUUCGUGCCAGCCGCCGCGGUAAUAC